rnacentral:rRNA from 1 species
UACGUAGGGUGCAAGCGUUGUCCGGAGUUACUGGGCGUAAAGAGUGCGUAGGCGGUUUUCUAAGUUUGGUGUGAAAUCUCCCGGCUCAACUGGGAGGGUGCGCCGAAGACUGGAAGGCUUGAGUAUGGGAGAGGUAAGCGGAAUUCCUGGUGUAGCGGUGAAAUGCGUAGAUAUCAGGAGGAACACCUGCGGUGUAGACGGCUUACUGGACCAUAACUGACGCUGAGGCACGAAAGCGUGGGUAGCAAACAGG